rnacentral:rRNA from 1 species
CAGCAGCCGCGGUAAUACGUAGGUCCCGAGCGUUAUCCGGAGUGACUGGGCGUAAAGAGUUGCGUAGGCGGUCAAGUUAGCGAGCGAUGAAAACUAUCGGCUCAGCCGAUAGCUUGUUGUUCGAACUGCUUGACUCGAGAGUAUCAGAGGUCGCUGGAAUUCCUAGUGUAGCAGUGAAAUGCGUAGAUAUUAGGAAGAACACCGAUGGCGUAGGCAGGCGACUGGGAUAUUUCUGACGCUAAGGCACGGAAGCGUGGGUAGCGAACCGGAUUAGAUACCCGAGUAGUCCCUGUCUCUUAUA